AUUUAUAUAGUUUAAAAAACCUUACAUUUUCAAUGUAAAAAUAAUAAGUAAAUUAUUUAUAAAUA
rnacentral:tRNA from 1 species